UACGAAGGGGGCUAGCGUUGCUCGGAAUUACUGGGCGUAAAGCGCGCGUAGGCGGCUUUGUAAGUUAGAGGUGAAAGCCCGAAGCUCAACUUCGGAAUUGCCUUUAAGACUGCAUCGCUAGAAUUGUGGAGAGGUAAGUGGAAUUCCGAGUGUAGAGGUGAAAUUCGUAGAUAUUCGGAAGAACACCAGUGGCGAAGGCGACUUACUGGACACAUAUUGACGCUGAGGUGCGAAAGCGUGGGGAGCAAACAGG
rnacentral:rRNA from 1 species